rnacentral:ribozyme from 1 species
AGGCGGUACAAGCGUGUCGAUGGCAGGUAGCACUUGCAGAUGAUGUUGUCUUUACCUCGCCCCCCUACUUUAUUUACGCCACCGCCUUUUGGUCGCUCU